CAGUCGGCCAGACCUGCUUGGUGCUGCACUUCUGCGUCCUAGAAGACUUGAUCGACUUCUUUUCUGUGAUUUUCCUUCAAAGCAUGAGAGGCUGGAUAUUCUAAAAGUUCUAUCUAGAAAGCUUCCCAUGGCAAGUGAUGUUGAUUUAUAUGCUAUAGCUUCCGUAACUGAUGGAUUUAGUGGUGCUGACCUCCAAGCUGUUUUAUCUGAUGCACAACUUGCAUCCAUUCAUAAACUUCUAGAAAGCAUGAAUGGUCCAGUAAAUGGAAGAGUUCCAAUUAUAGAUAAGAUAACUCAACUUUGAGGGCAGUGGCUUUGAAGGCAAGGCCGUCCGUCUCACAAUCGGAGAGGCAGAGACUCUAUGGGAUCUAUAGUCAGUUCUUGGAGUCUAAAAAAUCUGUUGGUACACAGUCGAGAGAUGCAAAGGGCAAAAGGGAAAAUUUAGCUUGACAGAUCAGCUAUAAGAUUAUUAUCUUGCUUCAUUAGUGUUCUACACUCAGGUAGCGGGACGAUGAAUCCUAUGCUAGAGGUAAGUGUUCCUUGGUAAAUGAAUGCAACAUAAUUUAUUGUCUGAGAUCAUGCAUAUUACAAUCUAGGUGCUGCUGACUCACCUGGUUAGUGGAGGUGCUUGUGCAGUUCUAUAUUUGUGUCCUUAUUCUUCUUUUCCUUGAUGACUAUCAUUGUUCAGGUUCAUUAGCAAGCACUGUCAGCGGCAUGGUACAUAAAAGUGGGCAACGGAAGUUACUGUACACAGAAUAACAUCUAUCUUUUAUUGGUUUUUACACCCUUUGAGGCUAUGUAUCAGCUUGUAUAGUCUAUGUAAGUUAAUGGAAAAGUGUUUUCUGUGCUAAUUGAAAGUGUAUAUAAUUUUUUUUUUUCGUGGAACAAUUGAUUAUGGCAUUGACAAGAAAAACUUGAAGCUUUUACAGCUCCAACCUAUGGGAAAGCUUCCCUUUAUAAGACGCAAUUAAUUUUUCUGAAAGUUAGCUCUCGUUUUUGUCUAGAAA